rnacentral:rRNA from 1 species
ACAUGCAAGUCGAGCGCCCUGUUUCGGCAGGGAGCGGCGGACGGGUGAGUAACGCGUGGGAACGUGCCCUUUAGUUCAGAAUAGCCACUGGAAACGGUGAGUAAUACUGGAUACGCCCUUCGGGGGAAAGAUUUAUCGCUAAAGGAUCGGCCCGCGUUGGAUUAGCUAGUUGGUGGGGUAAAGGCCUACCAAGGCGACGAUCUAUAGCUGGUCUGAGAGGAUGAUCAGCCACACUGGGACUGAGACACGGCCCAGACUCCUACGGGAGGCAGCAGUGGGGAAUAUUGGACAAUGGGGGCAACCCUGAUCCAGCCAUGCCGCGUGAGUGAAGAAGGCCCUAGGGUUGUAAAGCUCUUUCAGAUGUGAGGAUGAUGACAGUAGCAUCAGAAGAAGCACCGGCUAACUUCGUGCCAGCAGCCGCGGUAAUACGAAGGGUGCUAGCGUUGUUCGGAAUUACUGGGCGUAAAGGGCGUGUAGGCGGAUGAUCAAGCUAGGGGUGAAAGCCCAGGGCCCAACCCUGGAAUUGCCUUUAGAACUGAUUGUCUAGAAUCCGUAAGGGGAGUGUGGAAUUCCUAGUGUAGAGGUGAAAUUCGUAGAUAUUAGGAAGAACACCAGUGGCGAAGGCGGCACUCUGGUACGGUAUUGACGCUGAGGCGCGAAAGCGUGGGGAGCAAACAGGAUUAGAUACCCUGGUAGUCCACGCCGUAAACGAUGUCUGCUAGCCGUUUGGACACUUAGUGUCUGGGUGGCGCCGCUNACGCAUUAAGCAGACCGCCUGGGGAGU